rnacentral:rRNA from 1 species
GACGAACGCUGGCGGCGUGCUUAACACAUGCAAGUCGAACGGAAAGGCCCUGCUUUUGUGGGGUGCUCGAGUGGCGAACGGGUGAGUAACACGUGAGUAACCUGCCCUUGACUUUGGGAUAACUUCAGGAAACUGGGGCUAAUACCGGAUAGGAGCUCCUGCUGCAUGGUGGGGGUUGGAAAGUUUCGGCGGUUGGGGAUGGACUCGCGGCUUAUCAGCUUGUUGGUGGGGUAGUGGCUUACCAAGGCUUUGACGGGUAGCCGGCCUGAGAGGGUGACCGGCCACAUUGGGACUGAGAUACGGCCCAGACUCCUACGGGAGGCAGCAGUGGGGAAUAUUGCACAAUGGGCGGAAGCCUGAUGCAGCAACGCCGCGUGCGGGAUGACGGCCUUCGGGUUGUAAACCGCUUUCGCCUGUGACGAAGCGUGAGUGACGGUAAUGGGUAAAGAAGCACCGGCUAACUACGUGCCAGCAGCCGCGGUGAUACGUAGGGUGCGAGCGUUGUCCGGAUUUAUUGGGCGUAAAGGGCUCGUAGGUGGUUGAUCGCGUCGGAAGUGUAAUCUUGGGGCUUAACCCUGAGCGUGCUUUCGAUACGGGUUGACUUGAGGAAGGUAGGGGAGAAUGGAAUUCCUGGUGGAGCGGUGGAAUGCGCAGAUAUCAGGAGGAACACCAGUGGCGAAGGCGGUUCUCUGGGCCUUUCCUGACGCUGAGGAGCGAAAGCGUGGGGAGCGAACAGGCUUAGAUACCCUGGUAGUCCACGCUGUAAACGGUGGGUACUAGGUGUGGGGUCCACUCCACGGGUUCCGUGCCGUAGCUAACGCUUUAAGUACCCCGCCUGGGGAGUACGGCCGCAAGGCUAAAACUCAAAGGAAUUGACGGGGCCCCGCACAAGCGGCGGAGCAUGCGGAUUAAUUCGAUGCAACGCGUAGAACCUUACCUGGGUUUGACAUGGAUCGGGAGUGCUCAGAGAUGGGUGUGCCUCUUUUGGGGUCGGUUCACAGGUGGUGCAUGCCUGUCGUCAGCUCGUGUCGUGAGAUGUUGGGUUAAGUCCCGCAACGAGCGCAACCCUUGUUCACUGUUGCCAGCACGUUAUGGUGGGGACUCAGUGGAGACCGCCGGGGUCAACUCGGAGGAAGGUGGGGAUGACGUCAAGUCCUCAUGCCCCUUAUGUCCAGGGCUUCACGCAUGCUACAAUGGCUGGUACAGAGAGUGGCGAGCCUGUGAGGGUGAGCGAAUCUCGGAAAGCCGGUCUCAGUUCGGAUUGGGGUCUGCAACUCGACCUCAUGAAGUCGGAGUCGCUAGUAAUCGCAGAUCAGCAACGCUGCGGUGAAUACGUUCCCGGG